GCAUGCAUAUAAAGUAAGGAAUAGACGUUAGAUUGGAUGGACGUCAUCUCUAACUUGUUUUUAGUUUGAGGGCAAUUUAUGGCACAGAUGACCUAAGGAAUGCACUUCAUGGGAGUAAUGACUUUGCUGCUGCGGAAAGAGAAAUACGUUUUAUGUUUCCUGAAGUGAUUGUUGAGCCCAUUCCAAUUGGACAAGCUGCUAAGGACUAUUUAAAUUUACAUAUAAUGCCAACUCUGCUUGAAGGACUCACAGAGCUUUGUAAGCAAAAACCAGCAGAUCCUUUGAUUUGGCUAGCUGAUUGGCUGCUGAAAAAUAAUCCUAACAAACCCAAACUUUGUCACCAUCCAGUUGUAGAAGAACCUUAUUAAAAAAAAUCCUCGAAAGAACAAAUCAUGAACUAUCUUAUUGUAAAAGGCUGUACUUCUACUGUUUGAAAAAAUUAUUUCUAGGGUUUAAGUAACUACAAGUAAAAUAAAUUUAUUUCUUAAAAAUAAGUGUUACAGGAAUAACUAUUCUAUGAAGCAGAUAACAUUAAGGUAAAAUAUAGGCUUAGAGUAUGAUUUUAACAAUGAUGUAACACUAGAUAAUGGAAAACUGAUGUAAGAUGUUGCUAGAUGUUUUUGUUUUUCUUAAGUUUGAG
rnacentral:sRNA from 1 species